CCAACGGGGACCAACACGCAGCAGCCGCUGCCGCCGCCGCGGGAGCCGCUGCCCGAACUCCCGGCCCGAACUCCAGCUGUGCUGAGAUCUGUUUUACAUACCGUAAAGCUCACCCAUUUGAAGUGUAUGGUUCAGUGGGUCUUAGUAUACUAUCUUCACAGAACAUUUUCAUCACUCCGAAAAGAAGAAACCCUGAACCUGCCAUGAACAGCCACUUGCCCUUCCUCCUCCCAGCCCCGGGCAACUGUGAAUCCACUUUCUGCCUCUGUGGAUUUGCCUGUUUUGAACCUUUCAUAUAAACAGAAUC
rnacentral:sRNA from 1 species